AUAGACUUGUGAUGAUAGGAUCUAAAAGUAUAAUAACAAAAAAGUUGGGCCAAUUCAAUAUGAUCACUCUACUAACAUCAUACUCUAGAUUUCGUUUGGCAUCUUUUUUACAGUUCAACAAAUGCCCAUUAAUAGGAAUACAUGAUCAUCAGACAACACUUGAGCUAGUCCUAAAGGCUAUACUAGGUAUCAAGUUUUACUGUUUAUCAUUCUACACGUGCUUAUGAGUUUUCUCCUAGAUCACAUAUUCAAGAACCAUAGCAGUUAUAGCAUAAAAUUAUCUUUUAAUUAUAAUCGUGGAAAUAAAUAAUACAAUUACUAUUGCCUCCAGGGCAUAUUUUCAACAAUUGUGUCUACCUCGGUGAGAAUCUUAUCUCUUGCUCAUCGAAACGCCAACACCCAAUUUCUCGAUCGAGUGCUGAACUGAGUACCAAGAUGUCAUCAAUGCUGUUGCUGAAGCUAGUUGGCUUCGUAAACUCAUGUCGGAACUGCAUCACCCCCUACCCCAUGCCACCAUCAUCUUUUGCGACAACGAUAGCACGGCUACAUGUCUACGUACCUGGUUCAACAUAACAGACCAGACAUAUCGAGAUUUAUGUGCACUUUGUCUAUGACCGUGUCUCCCUUGGAUACAUCCGCGUGAUACAUGUACCCUCCUCUCGACAGUUUGCUGAUAUAUUCACCAAGGGGCUGCCGCCCCCUCGUUCUUGGACUUCCGGUCUAGCCACAACAACCGAGAAUCUCUUGUCGUGUCUACGGUGGAGUGUUAGGCAAACAGAAUAUCCUUGAUAUUAUGUUGUCCCUUCCCAAAUUAGCGCAUGUGUAAUUAGCGAUAUCAGGCUAUUAUGACAGGGAUUGUAAUUGGGAUUGUGUUCCAUGUAGAAGGUCCUGAUUCUGGUCUCUAUUCCCAAACUUUCAAUGUGGAUCCACACGUCCGGCGAGUGUUUUGGUAGUGUGUGUACCGGCAUCCACAUGACAUUCUAACAGAGCAAAGCAGAUAGGCCCACCAUGUCUCGAGGAUGAAGCUCGUGAUGAGGGAUCUCAUCAUAGAUCUAUGAAAUGGUCUGUCAUGCAUUAGCUUCGCCGUCGACCACGCCAACACACUGUGUUGUUAUGGAUGUGUGAUCGGAAGAUCUUAGCAUCGAUAUCUGGUAGUGACAAAACAAUUAACAGAAUGUAUAUAAUGAGACUUAUCAGGGCUACAGCACACACGUGUGAUCGAGCUAAAACAACCCGAUCAGACAAGCUGUUUCAUUGAUUU
rnacentral:lncRNA from 1 species